GAGUAAUGUCUGGGAAACUGCCUGAUGGAGGGGGAUAACUACUGGAAACGGUAGCUAAUACCGCAUAACGUCGCAAGACCAAAGAGGGGGACCUUCGGGCCUCUUGCCAUCGGAUGUGCCCAGAUGGGAUUAGCUUGUUGGUGGGGUAACGGCUCACCAAGGCGACGAUCCCUAGCUGGUCUGAGAGGAUGACCAGCCACACUGGAACUGAGACACGGUCCAGACUCCUACGGGAGGCAGCAGUG
rnacentral:rRNA from 1 species